UUCAUUGCUUCCCGACUUUUGUUCUUCUCCCGACUUUUUUUCUUCCUAACUUUUUUCUUCGCAACGCGACAUACAGGUUCAAUGCGGCGAUUUCCUCUUCUUCAUCAAGGUUCGACGAUUUUCUUCUUCAUCAACACGGCCUGCUAGGUUUCCUUCUUCUUCAUCAACCCGAUAGGCUAGGGUUGUGUUCUUCAGCGAUGCGACCAUGCUAGGGUGUUUGCCGCUCGAUUCCACUUUACCUUUACAAAUACAUGAAAAAAGAAAAUAGAGCUCAGUAUGUGUCAUUUGUGGAUCCUGGUCACAUACCUACAUGUGGUGUGGGUGAAGAAGGUAGUAAAUUAUCACAACAUAUUGAUGCUCAGUUGGGAGCAUCGAACAGAGAUAGCAUAUGCUUCAUCCCAUAUAACACUGGGUACCAUUGGAUCUUGACUAUAAUUAAUGAAGAUAAGAAUAUGAUAUAUUUAUUGGACUCUUUGAGUAACAGGAUCCGAGAUCAUGCUUGACAAACUAUUGUGACCAAUGGGGGCAAGAUAUACAAUGCAUCCAGGGGUAUUUCAAAAGGACCAGGUUUUAAACAAUUGACAGUAUGUAUUGUGACUAUAUAUUUAGACAUCAAUUAAUAACUCUUAUUAUUUGAAUUGUGACUUCUUGCAUGACAUUUUCAAUUUCAUUAGGGUAAUCUUAAACAAAAUGGUGGCGUUGAAUGUAAAUAUUGUGUGAUGCAGUACAUGAAAGAGAUAGUGUUGGAUGAAUAUCCACAAUUGGAGAGGAAGUUUGCAGCAUCAAAAACCAAACAGUAUUACAAUCAAUCUCAGUAUGAUGAAGUCAGAAGUGAAUGGAGUGAAUUCGUCUAUUUCUAUGUGGGUGCCUAAGUGUAGUCUAUGUUACAAAUUUUAGAUUGUAUUUAGAGAUUUUUGGAUACAAAAGUUUUUGGGUUAUGGUUAAACAUUUCUUUUAUGAAUACACUUUUGGAUUGUAUUUGAUAGAUAUUUGUGAUAUAUUUGUUCAAUUUUAG